ensembl:lncRNA
UUUAGAGCUGUGCACUCCAAUACUGGCAUGUGCUAAACUUCCACCAAGAGCCAUGUUAACCCACAGACUAUUGGCUGAUGGAUGGAGGGGUGAUCUCCUCUUCUUUGCUUUCUCAAGAAAGGGAAAUGCAGUUACAGGAGAAAGACUGCCUAGCUGCAGUCUAAGUGGAGACAGAUGCUUAGCUCUCUGAAGGAAAAUGCUGAGACUGGGACUCAAUGUUUUGUCUCUGGCCAGCUCGGGGAGCUCCAUGUUGAGUGUGCUGACCUCCAACCCAUGGGACCAGUGGCUCCUGGAGCCCUGCCCAUGGGGGCUUUGGGGUGCUGUCAGUCAAUCACAGCUGUUCUUUGACAGCUUUUGAGCCCAGCUCAACAUCUAUUCAUGUCUGAUUGUAUCUUUAAGAUAACAGAUGCUGACAACCUGUUCUCCAGAUCAUUAUUUAAGAAGUGAAGUCAUUUUAUUCCAAGGAAAAGAUGCUUGCUUUGGGACUGCAGUACUGCACAGAAGUAUUUGGCUCCCUUUGCUGGUACACAUACAGUUUGCCACAUGGCCUUGAAAAAGCCAAUUAGCUGCUGCUUGGUUGCUUGAGCUGGGAAUAAGAAGUUUCUUCUUUGCUGUUUUACAGAGCUGCUCUAAGCCCUGACUCUCUAAUAGCUUUAACACACACUAAUUGUUUACAAAUUAACUUCCAAGCAUGACUGGUGCUGUAUCUUAGCCUAAUGAAUUUCCACGUCGGAGGGCUCCCACCUGAGAUACUUUAGGCUGCAGGGUCCAACAAGAGCAGCCUCUCCACCCAGGGUGGGUGUUCCAGCCCUGGAUCAUCCCAGCAGUCCUCACUUCACCUUACCUUGUGCUGGAGGUCUCUCACAAGUCCACGCAUUUUCUUCCAGCGUGGUGCUCCUCACACCUGCUUCAAGAGGCAAGUUCCUUCUAGGCACAGGGCUUUGCAUGUGUACUUGCUGAAUUUCAGGAGGCUCCUGUUGGUGCAUUCUUCCUGUUUAUGUCCCUUUUAAAUACUGAGAGAUCUCCAGACUGGAAGUGAAAUGCUAACAUUGUUUUAAUGUUCUCCUGGGCACUAUGAGGAAGGCAGGAUGUUACACUAGCAGAUGCUAUUCCUUACUAUUUCAUUUGGGUAUAUCCAGAGAGGAAAAAAAAUAGAAUUGAGGGAGAUGCACAGAGUAUCCCACUGCAUCCCGACCUGAGGUAAGCUGAUUGCCUGUUUCGUAGAAGAUAUGUGGCAAUACUAUCUUAAUGUUGUGGCCUUCAGAGAAUGCAAGAUUUAAGACGUGAGGGAAAAACAUGCAUACAUUUUCAGAGUGAUGAAUGGCUGGCAGUUUCAUCUGAAUACUUUCUGCUACAGAAAUUUUACAUUUCCUUCCAAGGGCACAUGCCAGAGAAAAGAACGAGGAGACUUCUUCAUCUGAAUACUUGCAUCUCCAGCAGGAAGCAGAUAUGCUCACUGCAGGCCAGCAGAGCAAGAAAUGCUGCACGCGGAGCACCCAAGUCUCAGAGAGGAAGAGUGGGAAUGUAACCAGGUCCUGAUCUCAGCAGGAGCUGAGAGCAAUGUGAAGUGCUUUGCUGGGUGGGGUGUAAGACAUGAUGUUCCCAGCUGGCAACUGAUGGUAACUUAAUACCCCCAGAUGGAGGCUGGGGGUGAUACGAUAUUCCCAGCUGGUAGCCAAGGC